GACGAACGCUGGCGGCGUGCUUAACACAUGCAAGUCGAACGGAAAGGCCCUGCUUUUGUGGGGGGCUCGAGUGGCGAACGGGUGAGUAACACGUGAGUAACCUGCCCUUGACUUUGGGAUAACUUCAGGAAACGGGGGCUAAUACCGGAUAGGAGCUCCUGCGGCAUGGUGGGGGUUGGAAAGUUUCGGCGGUUGGGGAUGGACUCGCGGCUUAUCAGCUUGUUGGUGGGGUAGUGGCUUACCAAGGCUUUGACGGGUAGCCGGCCUGAGAGGGUGACCGGCCACAUUGGGACUGAGAUACGGCCCAGACUCCUACGGGAGGCAGCAGUGGGGAAUAUUGCGCAAUGGGCGGAAGCCUGAUGCAGCAACGCCGCGUGCGGGAUGACGGCCUUCGGGUUGUAAACCGCUUUCGCCUGUGACGAAGCGUGAGUGACGGUAAUGGGUAAAGAAGCACCGGCUAACUACGUG
rnacentral:rRNA from 1 species